GCCCGGUUAGCUCAGCUGGUUAGAGCGUCGUACUAAUAUUGCAGAGUCCCACAUCUGCUAUAUCAUGUCAUGCGAAGGUCAACAGUUCAAUCCUGUUACUGGGCA